rnacentral:rRNA from 1 species
UACGAAUGGGGCAAGCGUUGUUCGGAAUCACUGGGCUUAAAGCGUGCGUAGGCGGAUUUGCAAGUCAGAAGUGAAAUCCCAGGGCUCAACCCUGGAAUUGCUUUUGAAACUGCAAAUCUAGAAUCUUGAAGAGGUUAGCAGAAUUCCGAGUGUAGAGGUGAAAUUCGAAGAUAUUCGGAGGAAUACCAAUGGAGUAGGAAGCUAACUGGGAAAGUAUUGAAGAUGAGGAAAGAAAGCGUGGGGAGCAAACAGG